rnacentral:rRNA from 1 species
AGAGUUUGAUUAUGGCUCAGGAUGAACGCUGGCGGCGUGCCUAACACAUGCAAGUCGAACGGAGUUACGAGAGCUUGCUUUGUAACUUAGUGGCGGACGGGUGAGUAAUGUAUGAGCAACCUGCCUUUCAGAGGGGGACAACAGUUGGAAACGACUGCUAAUACCGCAUAACAUAUUUGGGUGGCAUCACCUGGAUAUCAAAGGAGCAAUCCGCUGAAAGAUGGGCUCAUAUCUGAUUAGCUAGUUGGCGGGGUAACGGCCCACCAAGGCGACGAUCAGUAGCCGGACUGAGAGGUUGAACGGCCACAUUGGGACUGAGAUACGGCCCAGACUCCUACGGGAGGCAGCAGUGGGGAAUAUUGGGCAAUGGGCGAAAGCCCUGACCCAGCAACGCCGCGUGAAGGAAGAAGGUCUUCGGAUUGUAAACUUCUUUUAUGAGGGACGAAGGACGUGACGGUACCUCAUGAAUAAGCCACGGCUAACUACGUGCCAGCAGCGGC